rnacentral:pre_miRNA from 1 species
UGUGACAGGUAGCAGGCUGUCGUACAUAUCUGGAUGAACGUGACAAUGUCUGGAUAUGUACGACAGCUUGCUACCUUGUCACA